UACGAAGGGUGCAAGCGUUACUCGGAAUUACUGGGCGUAAAGCGUGCGUAGGUGGUUUGUUAAGUCUGAUGUGAAAGCCCUGGGCUCAACCUGGGAAUUGCAUUGGAUACUGGCAGGCUAGAGUGCGGUAGAGGAUGGCGGAAUUCCCGGUGUAGCAGUGAAAUGCGUAGAGAUCGGGAGGAACAUCUGUGGCGAAGGCGGCUCGCUGGGACGUUACUGACGCUGAGACGCGAAAGCGUGGGGAGCAAACAGG
rnacentral:rRNA from 1 species